rnacentral:tRNA from 1 species
AGGAAUGUAGCUCAGUGGUAAGCCCUUGUCUAGCAUCCAAAGGCCCUGGGUUCAAACCCAGUAUUGCAA